UACGUAGGGGGCAAGCGUUAUCCGGAUUUACUGGGUGUAAAGGGAGCGUAGACGGUGAUGUAAGUCAGAUGUGAAAGCCCAGGGCUCAACCCUGGGACUGCAUUUGAAACUAUGUUACUAGAGUGCAGGAGAGGUAAGUGGAAUUCCUAGUGUAGCGGUGAAAUGCGUAGAUAUUAGGAGGAACAUCAGUGGCGAAGGCGGCUUACUGGACUGUAACUGACGUUGAGGCUCGAAAGCGUGGGGAGCAAACAGG
rnacentral:rRNA from 1 species